CGGUUUUGGUUUCGGAAUAUUUCAUAAUGUUAAACGGCGUGCCGUUGUGCGUGACAAAAGUACAUGGUCCAGUUGAAAACUCUAAGGGGAAUAGCUCUUUUGCUCCUCCCCUCGCUAUACGCUACACUUGCGAUUUGCAUUUCGCGUAUGCCGGGACUUUUAGAAAACGCACGCGCCUUUUCCCAAAACCCGUCGGUCUUGGAUUUAUUCGAUUUAUUCCGUUGCCCAUCGUCAAGACGUCAUCUACGAGACUCAGUCGGGUUUUUUCUCGGUGUUUUUAUUUUUCAAACGGGUUAUGAACGCACUAAUAUCAUUGUGAACCAUCGCAGUACGCUAACGAUAUUGUCGCGUUUAAGUUUCGAUAAUAACAAAUCAAUUCGCCGCGCCAUAACGCAAUCGAGCCGACAGUGCGGAAUGUCGCACGUUUUUUAAACGGUGGGGGGGAAGGCACACCGUACGCGGGUACACUGGCGAAACGGACCUAAAAUAAUCCAGAACCGACCUACAGUCUACCCCGAUUCCCCGUCGUUCGUCCAAUAUUUCGCAUUGUUUUCACGAGUCGUGCGCCCCUGCAACGCCGUCAUCGUCUAUAAAUCUAAAAUGCAAGCGGCCGUUUCUCAAAGGCCGCGUUCGUUUCGCCGCCGCGAUAGAAAUCCUUCGCCCAACACACGUACACACGGUGUGAAACGAAAAUAGUACACAAACCAACGAUCGGAGCGUACUCGUUAUUGUAUUACGGAAAAGAAAAAUCGCGUUGGCCUCGCGUUUUACUAUU